rnacentral:lncRNA from 1 species
UUUGUCUUUGUUUUCCAAUGCAGCUUUUCAUUCUGUCCUAUGCGCCGAGGGUCGCAUGGAAGCAGCCUCUCUGCCCUUUUGGGUAGGGGUAAGACUGCCCUACAUAUUACCCUCCCCAGACCCCACCUGGUGGGAGUAUACUGGGUAGUUGUUGUUGUUGUUGUUGUUGUUGUCAUAGUGUCAGUGAAAAUUCCAAAACUAGUAUGUCUUGGUCUUUUAUUUCCAAUGGUUGCUGCAUUAGUCGAGCCUCCUCUUAGUGUAGUUCCUCUUCCUUUUCCCCUGCCUAGUCCAGGGCCUCCUAUAGAUUGAGAUGUUGAAGGUUGUGUGAUAAUAAAGCUUACUGUAGCAGAUCUGAAUACACCCCCUACCAAUGCCAAGUGUAGUUCCACUUUCUUUUCCCUACUAGUCCAGUGUCUCUUCCUCUCUCUCUUCCCCUAACAAGCUCAGUUGAUUGAUUGUUCCUUUAUCUUUUGACAAUACUUGUAUCCUCACAUAUAGAUGAUGGAUUUGUUUAUUGAGAUGGUAUUUCCUGAGAUGAUCUUGGCGGAUGUGGUGUCAUAUUUUGACUUUGUUGAGUAGCACUUCUUGGAACAUGUUGGGAGUAAAAGAAAAGAAUAUCAGAAUUGCAAAAAAAGAAUAUAAAAGACAGAAGUACAAAUAUUAGAGCUUACCCUUUUCCUGCAUCCAGAUUUAUUGUGGCCUGUUUGUUGGCAGUUUGAACAAGUUAUCUUUACCCAUUUCUUUAAUAGUUUACCAUGCUUUUUCCUUGGUUCAUAGCUGCCUUUUCUCCUACAACUUUUUGGUCUACCUGGUAGAGAUUUAGGUUAUGGAGGCUCUAUACAUGAAUUUGUUGAAUAUGGCCACAUCUUCAUGUUGGGAAUUGGUUGAAUGAAAUGCUAGUAAGCUUUAAGAAAGUUCCUUCCUAUACCAGUAGGCAACAUAAUCCUUUGGGUGAAUUUCUCUAUCAUAGAAUGCAUAUAUUGCAUGUUAACAUGGAAUGCCCCUCAACAUCUAUGAUUUACAGGUUCCUAAAAUCAACAAUGAAUUUGUAUAUACAUUUAUCAACUUUAAACACAUGUUCUGCAUUUUAUAUAACCUUACACCUCCUAGAGAGGGCUUUGUUCUCCUCCAGUAUCAUCCUAGCUAUUGGUGCAAUAUCAAUAACCCAAGUCUCAAAAAACUUCCUCAUUUCAAUGGUCUUAUAAUCUUAUUCAUGAUUUCGUGUCUAAUUUCUUCCAACAUAGUUAUAACAGACUUGUGCCUAGGACCUACCAUCUAAGAAUUGAAUGUUUCACUCGUGUUAUUCUCAAUGAUAUCACACUUUGAAUGUUCUCUAGAGUAUGUCCAACACUGAUCUUUAUCAUACUUCAACAAGUCUUCACAUGUCUUAUAACCAAGUUUAUUCAUUGCUUUCAGUUCUUCUUCGAAUUUCACUUCAUAAGAUGCAAUCUCCAGAAUUAUUUUCUCCUUUCUUCACCUCUCCAAUUUUUGGACCAGUUAGACAAAAUGUGUCUAGCACACAUUCGUUUUCUACCAUUGGUAGUAAUUUUCUUAUAGUUGGUACUAGUCUCUACAAAAAUUAAUUGUUAGUGACCAGUAUAUAUAAAGCAGGAAAAAAAUUUAAUAGUUGACUGUAACUUUGCACCUGCUCCUUUACACUUAAUUCUAAUCAUAUUCUUUUCAUUAUGCCUUGUUAGUUGCACUUUGUUCUCCACAGAUAUGAGGCUACUGAUUUUCUAAAUUCCACAACAUUUUCAAAUAUCAUACCAAGCUCAAAAAUAGCAAGGUAACGACAAAAAGGAUCAAACCUAACCUUUUUACUUCUCCUUCUAGGAGGUAAGUCAAUACCCUUUUUAGCUAAAUUCUACUAUGUUAUCUAUGAUAUCAUCACUUCCAACAUCAGAGCUGGUGUAGUAGUCUUCAUCCCCUCCUAAUUUUCUACCAAAUGUGUCCUACUCAGAUGGCCUGCCAAUAUCCUAAAACCUUUAUUUUGUUCCAGCUUAUCCUAGAAUAAUCUCUUCAGUUAGAGUAUGUUUCUUUCUGUGUUUCUUAUGUUUUUUCUUGUUUCUUCUUUCAUGCCUUAAUGAAGCGAGCUCUUCAUUCGCAUCACUAUCAUCUUCAUCAGGAAUGUUAUCUAAUUCAGACUCACUACUUGACAGAUCUGAUGCCAAAAUAGUAUCUAUGUUUGUUGUUUCUUCAACCCCUUGUAAAUUCUCACCUGCAACCCCAAUAUCAGCUAGAUUUUUCUCUGCCACAAAUAUGCUAUCUGCAACACUUUCUUGGACAUUUAUAUCCUCUGGAAUAGUAGAUUACCCUAGCCUCUUUACUUAAUGUAUUUUUACUUGGUUCAACAACUUCUGGCCCACAUAAAAGGCCACAUGGGACAGUAUCAUCAAGCAACAACGGCUCGUUAACUAUAUUCUUACUAAACAAAUCUAAAUGAUCAAGAUAAUUAAUGUGACAAACUAUACUAUACUGUUCAUCAUUCAUUUUCAAUCGGACAAAGUCAUUAGAAUUCGGAUUAAUUAAAUAGAAAUCCUCUACCUCGACAUAUCCCAUAUCCUUUGUGUAGGGCAGAAAUUCCCCUGUUGUUCGCCUUAGUGAUGGAUGCUCUAACCCGACAUAUCCAAGGAGAUGUGCCUUGGUGCAUGCUCUUUGCUGAUGAUAUAAUAUUGAUAGACGAGACGAGGGCCGGU